GUCUGUGUGUGUCUGUGUGUGUGUGUGUGUGUGUGUGUGUGUCUCCGGCUGUUCCAGCCAGUGGUGUUUUGUCCACAUUUUUUGGCACAGAGGAGCUGGAAAUUGGGAACACCCUUGACGUCCAUCAACCAAUGGAUAAACAAGGAAAAUGUGGUACAUUUACACAAUAGAAUAUUAUUCAGCUGUUCUGAAAAUGAAGCUAUAAGGUUUGCAGAUAAACGGAUGGAACUAGAAACAGUCAUCCUGAGCGAGGCAGAAUAACCACAGAGAUUGGGGACCUAGUAAGGCGCCAGGGAUAGAGGAGCUAUCCUGAGGAAGAGGAUGGAGAGAACGCUUCAAUAGUGCCUGGAGGAAAGAAGACUGCUUGCUGCGUUUGCUGGUUUGCUGGUUACCUGGACAGCCGGAUAUCCUGACCACUGAGACUGGUGUUGCCCCAAAGAGAACAAGAUGAACCUUCUUUCUCUCCUACCUAUGGCUGGGGGGUUGGAAGGGAGGUCACGGCUUUAGGGACCCCCAAAUAGAGUUUAAAAAUUGGCACCUACAGGUUAAAAAAACAGCCCUAACAAGUGGCACUCGACAUGGUCGGUGAGAAACUCUAUUAAAAUAGAUAAAAAAGGCUACACACUGAUGUGAGUAGGAACUCACAGAAAUAGUGGCAGCAUGCACGAGACCUGCACAGGGUUAAGCCAGAUGGGGUUCUAUCAUGGAGAGAGAGAGCUGAGCGCAGGGUCCCACCAGAAACAAGAAGCUGUUUGCAAUCGAUGCCUGAUUUCCAAGAGAAAAUCAGUUUCCACUAAUAGAGUGUCACUGAGCAUAUCAACCGUACUCCAGGACAGGCCCCAUGUCCAGUGGUUAGCCAACACAAA